UGUGUAUUAAUUACAAAGUCUAACCUGCCCACUGAGUAUAUUUAAAGGGCCGCGGUAAUUUGACCGUGCAAAGGUAGCAUAAUCAUUAGUCUUUUAAUUGUAGGCUUGAAUGAAUGGUUGGACGAAAGAUAAGCUGUCUUUUAUAUAUAAGUUGAACUUAACUUUUAAGUGAAAAGGCUUAAAUUAGCUAGGGGGACGAUAAGACCCUAUAAAACUUGAUAUAGAUUUAAUUUUGCUUGUGAUUUCAGUAGAGAGGGGUUUUGAUUAGAUCAUGUUUCGUUGGGGAGAUGUGGAUAUAAAGUGUAACUGUCUGUAGAAUUAUAUAAUUAUUAUUAGUAGAUGAUCCUUCUUUGGGGAUUAGAAGAAUAAGUUACUUUAGGGAUAACAGCGUAAUUUUCUUUGAGAGUUCUUAUCGACAAGAGUAGUUGCGACCUCGAUGGUGAAUUUAAAUUUUAGCUAGGUGUAGUCGUUUAGCUAGUAGGUCUGUUCGACCUUUAAAAUUUUACAUGAUUUGAGUUCAAACCGGC
rnacentral:rRNA from 1 species